GAGUCAAAAUAAAGAAAAACUCAAACUUUCCACUGGUAGUGUAUAUAGAUAUAUAUUUAGCAAGUUAGAGUCAUACUUUUGUCUGACAUCCGAAAAUAUCACUGUUUUGGUUAAAUGGGACACUUCGCGGGCACGUGACUACAGUUUGUAUUGAAUUGUGGGUCAUAUCAACCCCACAAGUGAUCAAAGUUCUUCACUCACUCCCUCAAGCUAAAUCGAGGGUCGAAGUGGUAACGUUAGUGAACUGGACCUCCAAUUAAGAUAGCAAUCUAACUGCAUCCGGUUUCGACGGGGACUCGCCCAAGGUAAAGUGGCUAGCGCGAGGGCUGAGAUAUGGAGGAGUGGAGGAGGAAGCAAGAGAGAUGGGAGAUGGAGAUAGAGAAGAUGAUGGAGAGGCGAGUGCGAGAUAGAGAGGGAAAUGGAAGCGAGGAGGAGGAGGGCGGAGGAAAGGGAGAUGUGUGAAUUUAUGGCGCUCCAGCGGAGGAGAAUAGCAGAGAUCUACAAGACGGAGACAUCCGUGCGGAGAGAUGCAGAAGAAUGGAAAGAUGGCAUUCGAGAGAAAAAAGAUGAGUGGAAGGAGUCCUUAAGAGAGAAGCAGAGGAUGAUGAGGGAAGAGCAGCAGGAUGACAGACAGAAAGAGGCGAGACAGAGAUACAUGGAGAGGCAAAGGAGGAGAAGAAAAGGAGAAGUGAGGAGAAAUUGAGUGGAAGAAGAGAGAGGAUGAAUGGAGAAAGUGGAUAGAGGAGAACGAGAAAGAAAAGAAAGAGGAUAGGAAGUGAGAGGAGGAAUAUAAUAGGAUGCAAAAGGAGGAGGGGAAGAAGAGCGAGAGAAAUGUGACAGGAGCAGAGGGAGGAGCUGGUAGAGCCGAGGAGGGAGGUGGAAAGACAAUGUCUGGAGAAUAUAAAGUGGAAGAAGGAGGAUGAGAUUGAGAUGGAGGAGAUACUGAGAGAGCUGGCCACAAAUAUAAAGCUAGUGAAGAAAUAGCAAAAGAUUGAGGAAAAAAUAGAGCGGAAGAGUUCAUCAAGAAGCUAGAAAAGUGCACAAUGAAAGUGGUAGAGAUGAGAAGAGAGGUGGAGAGAAAGUCUAAAGAAAGGGGGAGGAGGAAAAGAGAAAGAGGAAGCUGGAGAGGGAGACAGAGAGAUAGGAAGCGAAGACUUUGAGGGGGAGAGGAAUAAAAACAUUGGAGAAGAGAGAGAGUGAGCUGUUUGAGCAAAGAAAAAGACAGAAGAGCAGAAUAAGAGCUAUAUAAAAAACAUUUGUCCUGGUUAUUAGAAUUGAAGAGGAGAACGAGCAGAGAGAAUAGAAAGCUGGAAGAGCAGAAAAAAGAGAGAAGCGGAGAGGAGAAAAGAGGUGAGGCUAACAAUGUCAAGAAGAGACCAAAAAAAAAAAAGUAUCUGAAUGAAUGGGUGGCGGGAAAAGAGGACAAGAGAGAGCUGAAUAACACCGCUGUGGGAAUUGACGAUAACCUCUGCCAAUUGAUAAAGAUUGUACAAUUUCUUCCCUUCGUCACUUCCAACAAGCACAGUGCAAAGACUUUUCCAUCUUUGCAGCAGGGGGAAAAGCCCAGCUCUCACCACUCGUGCCGCAACAACAAUAAAUAAGGGCUGGCGGGAUUGAUUUAACAAUGGGUGGAUGAUUCCUUUUGAUGAUACACAAUCUCACUUUACGCCCACUGUCUCUCUCUUGCCCUUUGGAGAUAUUGAUGGUCACUACAGUAACAUGGGGCGGCGGGUAGCCUAGUGGUUAGAGCGUUGGGCCAGUUACCGAAAGGUUGCUUGAUCGAAUCCCUGAACUAACAAGCUAAAAAUCUGUCGUUCCGCCCCUGAACAAGGCAGUUAACCUACUGUUCUCCGGUAGGCCUUCAUUAUCCCUCUACCUUUGCAGCUGGGAGAAAGAGUUGAGCUAAGAUCCUGAAGCCCCUAAAGAGCAGAAAGUAGCCAGUCGAGAUAAUUACAUUUAGUGACAAGAAUCUACAACUAAAAACAAAGCUGUCCUACGAAGAGAGGGGAUGGUUUUCUAUACUAUCUUCAUACUGAUUUAAUUGUUCCUUAAUUCAUGCAUUUUGAAUAAAGAUGCUAGCAUCGAA